rnacentral:rRNA from 1 species
AUGGUGGAAGUCGGAGUCUUGCUCAAGCCGCGCGACGGGCCGGAGCUGGAGCUGGCCGGCGCCUGCCCGCUGGUGGAAGGGGAUGAUGUCGAGGGACUGGACCUCGUCGCCGACGAAGUUGAAGCCGUAGAGGAGGGGGAGGGUGGGCUGGAGGGCGUGGUGGGCGAGGAGGAAGCGGCGGGCGGAGGUGGCGCUGCGCCACGCGCGGCAGACGGCGCGGCAGCGGAGGAGCGAUUUGGGGGGCAGCCGGACGAGGAUCUCCCAGAUGGUGAUCUCGUCCGGGAGGCUGCGGUGGGGAGGAUCUGCCAUGGUCGCCGCCGGCGUCCAGCAAGAGGAGUGAGUGACGGCGGCGUUGAGGGGAGUGGGAGGUAG